rnacentral:tRNA from 1 species
GAUCGAGUAGCUCAGCCGGUAGAGCAUCUGCCUUUUAAGCAGAGGGUCCCGGGUUCGAAUCCCGGCUCGAUCACCA